AGCUACGCUCACUGACACGCAUCUCAUGCUGUGCUAGGAUGUUGUCCCCAUGUUAGUGUGCCCUCUCCAGGGAGACUGCCAGCCCUCGUGGGUGUGCAUCUUCUGCUUCUGCAUCCUUGGUCACUGCCAGCAGAGGUCUGGGCACAUGGUGGUGGACAGUGGCUAUUAACUGUGGUUGUGCUGGAAUGGAGGAGGCCUGGUGUCUGGUCUUGGAGUCAAGAAUGCAUGUGCUUAAGGAUUCCAAGAUCACACGGAGGAGGGUGCUGGGAGACCGUGAAGUGCAAAGCAGAUGGAGUCCAGGCCCUCGGGGAGACAGCACGCCAGUGAGGGAGAUGGAGACCAAUCACCCACCCAGUGUGCGGGGAUGAGAAGCUCGGGAAGGUCUGACCAGCCUUACGUCUUGAAAGGGAAUCCCCUGCUUCUGCGUGUCAGGUGUUACUCGGGGUGCGCCAGUGGAAGCGGGAGGCAGUUGCAGCUUUCAGUCUUCCAGGAUCUCAACCAGUUCUCUCACUGCAGAGUCUGGAGAAGCCCAGCCCUCAUUGUGAAGGGAGAGCCACCGUGGUGCUCACAGCAAGACACCCAGAGUCCCUUCCAGACAGGGACACCCCUGGAGCGACCCUGUUUCAGAAUGAAGUUAUCUGGGUGGGAACUCACCAAGAAUGCACAGAGGGCGCUGGGCUCCAAGCUUCAGCAUAUCCUUUCACUGGACUCCACACAGGCCUGCGGAGCAGGUGGACCCACCAUUCUCAGACCCCCCAGGGCCCCAUAGACAGCAGAUCUGCUGCUUUCAAUCACACCCACUGCCUCUCAUGCCGGAGUGGGGGAAAUGGAACCCGCAAAGCCUGCAGGCCAGGGAGGGUGGGAAACUGGGGUGAUGUGAGCCCACAGGGUGGAGCACUGUGGACUGAAUGCCUGUGUCCCCUGGGUUCAUAUGUUGAACCCCUAACUCCCAAUGUGAUGGUGUCAGGAGGUGGAGCCUUUGGGAGGUGGUUAGGCCGUGAGGGUGGAGACCCAUGCUGGGGUUGGUGCCCUUAUGGUUCUCCCAUGUGAGGACACAGAGGGCAGCCAUCUACAAGCCAAGAAGAGAGGCCUCACCAGACACCAAACCUGCCGGCACCUUGCUGUGAGAUUUCCAGCCCCCAGAGCUGUGAGAAAUAAAUUUCUGUUGUUUAAGGCACUCAAUAUUUUGUUACAGUAGCCCAAGCUGACUGAGCAGAUAUUCAUAUGGAAAGUGAAUUUUGAUCUCUACUUCAUGCCGUACAUAAAAGCCAAUUCCAGAUUGACUGUAGAUACAGAUUGGCAAAGCAAAACAGUACAGUUUCUAGAAAGAAACAGGAAAAUAUCUGCAUGAGGUGGUCAAAUAUUUCCUAGAGAGGACACAAAAAGCACUAACUACAAAAUAAACAAUGAUAAAUUGGACUGCAUUAAAAUUAAGAACAUCUGUUUAACAAAAGACCCCACGAAGAGCGUGAGAAGCCAGAGUGCAGAGUGGGAGGAGAAAUCUGACCUGAGAUGGGAAAUUAGAAUAUGAAGAACUCCUUCAAGUCAGCAAGAAGACAGGCAAGCCGAGAGGAGGACGGGCAAACGACCUCAACAGACACUUUACAGAAGAGAUAUCCAGGCCAGGUGCAGUGGCUCAUGCCUGUAAUCCCAGCACUUUGGGAGGCUGAGGCCGGUGGAUCACCUGGGAUCAGGAGUCCAAGAUCAGCCUGGCCAACAUGUCGAAGUGCCAUCUCUACUAAAAAUACAAAAAUUUGCUGGGCUUGGUGGUGUGCACUUGUAAUCCCAGCUACAUGGGAAGCGGAGGUGGGAGAAUUUCUUGAACCCGGGAGGCAGACUUUGCAGUGAGCUGAGAUCGUGCCACUGCACUCCAGCCUGCGGGACAGAGUGAGACUCC
rnacentral:lncRNA from 1 species